UGGGGAAUUUUGGACAAUGGGGGAAACCCUGAUCCAGCCAUCCCGCGUGUGCGAUGAAGGCCUUCGGGUUGUAAAGCACUUUUGGCAGGAAAGAAACGUCAUGGGUUAAUACCCCGUGAAACUGACGGUACCUGCAGAAUAAGCACCGGCUAACUACGUGCCAGCAGCCGCGGUAAUACGUAGGGUGCAAGCGUUAAUCGGAAUUACUGGGCGUAAAGCGUGCGCAGGCGGUUCGGAAAGAAAGAUGUGAAAUCCCAGAGCUCAACUUUGGAACUGCAUUUUUAACUACCGGGCUAGAGUGUGUCAGAGGGAGGUGGAAUUCGGCGGGUAGCAGUGAAAUGCGACGAUAUGCGAAGGAACGCCGAUGGAGAAGGCAGCCUCCUGGGAUAACUCUGACGAUCAUGCACGAAAGCGUGGGGAGCAAACAGG
rnacentral:rRNA from 1 species